GACGAACGCUGGCGGCGCGCUUAACACAUGCAAGUCGAACGGAAAGGCCUGCUUUCCCUUGUGGAUUGCGGGUACUCGAGUGGCGAACGGGUGAGUAACACGUGAGUGAUCUGCCCCCAACUUGGGUAUAAGCCUGGGAAACUGGGUCUAAUUCCCGAUAGGACUGCAGGGUGGUGCCUGUGGUGGAAAACGAUUUUCUAGUGGUUGGGGGUGAGCUCGCGGCCUAUCAGCUUGUUGGUGGGGUAAUGGCCUACCAAGGCGGCGACGGGUAGCCGGCCUGAGAGGGUGGACGGCCACAUUGGGACUGAGGUACGGCCCAGACUCCUACGGGAGGCAGCAGUGGGGAAUAUUGCACAAUGGGCGGAAGCCUGAUGCAGCGACGCCGCGUGGGGGAUGACGGCCUUCGGGUUGUAAACUCCUUUCGACCGCGAGGAAGCCACCUGGUUGGAAGGGUGGUGACGGUAGUGGUAGAAGAAGCACCGGCUAACUACGUG
rnacentral:rRNA from 1 species